AAAUGACCACAGUCUGCAGUUGGAAAAGCCUGAUGACUGGCAAGAGACCCAGUGAGGACUGAAUAAUCAAGCUGUGCUAUUAAAAGGUGAUUGUGGCUGGAUAUAUUUAAAAACAAUUUGAGUGAUACAAGAGGCAAGCUUGUUCUUUUUACAUUCAAAUAUAUGCUUCACAAGGUUGUAUCUUCAUAAAGACCUGCAUUUAUGAAGAUUCAGCGUGCCUGCAAUACUUUGGAUGAAGAAGGGUGGGUUGACAUGCCUGAUGAGACUGGAGUGGAUUCAGAAAGGCAGAGCUAUAUCCUCAAAAAUUCACAGGGGUGGAGCCACUCUGGACACCUAUAAAAGCCAGCCACUGAAGGGAGAGUUUCUUUUGGACCUAGGCUGCUUUGUGAUGGCAGUAAUGGUAGCUGAGGUGAGGACCUGCCCCUCUCUAUGUCAAUGGAUGCUCUUUGUGAUUCUUCAUCCCAGCGAUUUGACAUCCUGUGAGUUACAUCCCAGUGAGGGAUGGAAAUUAAGUGGAAGCAACAAACACAGGAGUUCAUAUGGAUGCUAACAUUCCUUCUUUUACCAUUGUUCUAAUCCACAGACUCUAAAACAAAACACAAUUAUGCAGUAUCUGUUUGGCAAGCAAAUUCUAUUUCCUUAUGACCAGAAUAAGUACUGGCUUACCUCUCUGUUGUCUACUUGGUAAUUACAACCUGCCUUCUCCAGGUCAACCUGUUGGGGGUGAAAUUCUAAAAGUUUUCUUCCUUCUUCAGCCUCAAACUUUUUUUAAAAAAAAUUUUCCUCCCCUGCAGUCAAAAAGACCCGUGUGUACACUGUGGGAGAAGUGCUUACAGGCAAAACUUGUCUUCACUUGGAAAAGUCUUUACCAACCAUUUUUAACAUUUAAAAAUACUUUUUUGUGUUCUUUACUAUGUUAGUCCUCAUAACUCCCUGUAAAAAAUAAUUAUAGAAAAAAAUAAAAAAAAUUGAAAUAUCUACAUUCUCAACAAAAAUUGAUAUCUUUUGAUUUCUCAUGAUGAUGUAUUUUGCUAGAAUACUUCUGAAGGACUUGGUAAUGCAUCCAUAUUAUCCACAUUGUCUCACUGUUUCCUUAUGACAUGUCAGCUUUAUGUUUUCACUCAUUCUUUCAUAUUGUACUAGGCCCAUAAAUUUUCUGAAGCAUGAAUUGUCUUUCCGUUCUGUGUCUGUAAAAUGCGUAACCAUAGGUUUGUGGGCAACAAAUGUUGUACAGAUAUGAUAAUAGUGAUGGGAGCAGCAAAAAACAAAAAAACAACAAAAAAAACGAUCUUAGAUGUGGUGAUUUUGGAGCUGGUUCUAGGUCAUGCUGCUAAUUAUGCUGCUGACAGAUAGGUAAAGAAUAAGAGUUGCUAACCACACGUAUAAACAGGAACAGCACUUUUGCAGCUGGAAUCUAUACACUGGAUGUUUCUGUAGCAAGUCAGAAUCUGAUGAGGGUAUUUUUGUCUAUGAGGAAAGAGUGGUGAGAUUCCUCAGCAAGUGGUAAUAUUGGUGCUGAAGUGAUAGACUUUUGAUUGGCAGUGAAGAUGUCAAGAAAUUUUCCAUUUCUAGGUGCUUUCAUGAUGUACAGCUAAAUGGAACUGCAUAUGAAGCUAUGAUCAUUAAACACAUAAUAGACACAUUAUCUUGCUAGGUCUUGCUAGAAAAACAGCAGGAUGAUGAACAAUGUAUUGAAUUUCAUUAGAAUAAAAAUUGUUUAGGGGCCACCAUACCAUAUAGCAUUCCUUCAGUGAUAUGACUGCACCUGAUUAAAGUAGUCUUGAUUGCUUGAAUGUGAGAGUAGGGGACUGUUGGAUUAUUGUAGUCUUUUUGCAUGAGAUAAAAAGAGAUUAUUUAUCUUUGAAAUUAUCCAAAAUUCAUUAAUAAUGUACUUUAAAAUAUUAUUCUUAAAAAUGUUGUCAUUUUUAAAAUAUUCUUCAAAUGUUGUCAUUCACAGUGGUAAAUCCAUGUUCUUAGUGUACCCAUUAAAAAUUGUAUUAGCAUUUCAUGUGCAAACAAAAUAAUGUAAACAUUAUUUAAAGACUGUCACCACUAUUAUAAGUAUGUAUAAAGAAGUAAAGAAAGUGUAAUGUUGUCCUGGUUCUAUAAUGCUCAUUUUUUCCCUAACAGUCCCUCAACAUUACUAAAAGUGUGAAGGUUUCUUUUUAAAUAUAAAGAAAGUAUUUUUAGUGAAAUACUGUUACAUGGCUUGGUUAAGCA
ensembl:lncRNA